UACGGAGGGUGCAAGCGUUGCUCGGAAUCACUGGGCGUAAAGCGACCGCAGGCGGUCUGACAAGUCGGAUGUGAAAUCCCCGGGCUUAACCUGGGAACUGCAGUCGAGACUGUCUAGCUAGAGUAUGGGAGAGGGAAGUGGAAUUUCAGGUGUAGCGGUGAAAUGCGUAGAUAUCUGAAGGAACAUCAGUGGCGAAAGCGACUUCCUGGACCAAUACUGACGCUCAUGUGCGAAAGCGUGGGGAGCAAACAGG
rnacentral:rRNA from 1 species